GGCUUAUUGGGGGAAUGGCUAACCUCCCCGAUUGUCUCUCGGGUGAUGCGGGUUCGAUUCCCACAUAGGCCG
rnacentral:tRNA from 1 species